rnacentral:lncRNA from 1 species
UAUCCACCCUGCAGAGAAGAGAGAGAAUUUACUAGACAGAAUCUUCAGAGAUUUUUCUGGCACAUUAUAUGUCCUGUAUGCUAUGAGAAUCAGUAAUUUGCCUAGUGGGAUUAGGCCUAGUGGUCUUCUUCUUCAGUUUUCUACUUUCAAUAUUUCGUUCCAAGUACCACGGCUAUCCUUAUAGUGAUCUGGACUUUGAGUGAGAAGAUGUGAUUUGGACCAUGGCACUUAAAAACUCUAUAACUUCAGCUUUUUAAUUAAAUGAAGCCAAGUGGGAUUUGCAUAAAGUGAAUAUUUACCAUGAAGAUACUGUUCCUGACCAUUUUGAAUUCUUGAGUUCUUUUUUUGUUCUUGUGAUAAGCUAGCUUAUUCUUGUAUACAUUUUUUAAACUGUCAGUUUUCCUACUCAAUUUAAUUUAUAGAAAUGGAUAGUAACAUUCAGUAAUCUGCGAAGGAAACAUUAAAAUGUUUUUUCAGACAUAUUCAGUGUAUGUGGUAGGAUUGGAAUAAAUGACAAUGUAACUAUGAAUUCAUGUUUUAGAACUGUUCACUCAUUAGUAAAGGAGACCACAUGUUAGUAAAGGAAACCUAUGGAAUGUAUGUUAAAGAAUAAUUAGUAUUGUACAGGGAUAAGGCAUAUGCAUGAAAAUUUCAUGUAUGGGAAAUUAUACUUAUUGCAGUUUCAGUUAUAAAGGAUGUGCACUGUUACAAGUAGUGUUUUGUUCUUAUUAAUCCUAACUAUAUCAAGGCAUGUAGGAUAAAUUGUUGGAUGAAUAAUGCCUGGAUGUGGGUGCCUAACCUAGGAAAGGGAAAAUCUUCCUGGGGUCCAAAUUAAAGCAAAUAUCCACUUAAUCAACAUGCCUUAAAGGUAUUAGGCAGUGGAAGCAACACACCACAGCUAUGAAUUAGUAUUCUCCAUUAUUAGAAGUGUCAUCUAGGAAUCUAGAUUCAUAACAGCAAACCUAACACAUUAGGGCCAUUUUCCUUUUGUUUUGCGGAAGCAGCUUGCCAUUUAAGCCUCAUUCCCUGAAUCUGUAUAAGAGACUAAUUCUUUGAAAUGAGUGAAUGACUCAGUAAAGCUUUCUUGAAAUCAAGUAUAGGAAUGUAACAAUUAUUGUGCUUAUAUCCUGGUUUGUAGAGUAUAUUUACAUACAUUAUUGUAUUUGUUUCUCACAACUGCUUUAUAAAUAAGAAAGGAAAUACAAAAUUUUUUCUGGUAGUGGAAGCUGAAAGCCAAAAAUAAAAGUAGAAAUCAGGCUUUCAAACUCUCAAACCUAUGUUUUUAUAUUCCAAGUACAACCUAAAGGUAGAUAUAGGAAAAAUAAUUCUACAUUCAGUUUAAUAUUUUUUUUCUUUUUUAAAGACUUAUUUAAUUUUCAUUACAAUUUGGAUAAUAGAUCACAGAACAUUUUGUACACUGGGUGUUCCAGCUAUAUAGUCUCAAAGAGGAACCAGGUAUAUAUCCAUGGAAUUUACUUAUUUUGUACCAAUGAAUUUCAAUGAAGAAUGGAUAAUUUAAAAGCCUACUGGGGCAUAUUUAUCCUAAGGCAAUGUGUGUGCUAGCAGGAUGAGAGCUAUCUUUUCAAAACAUCAUAAUAUUCAGUGAAAAUUACCUAAUAAUUCAGAACUAUAUUAACCUUAACAUAUAUUCCCAAAACAAUUAUUAAAAAUACUAAUUUUCCUAGUUUUUGUUCACAGAUUAAUUCAGAUUGAAAUGGCAUUUAUGAAAAAGCAAUAGGCAUCCAUAAUUGUUUGGUGCCUAUUCCUAGGUAGCGCUUCACUUGUAGUUCUUUUAUCCAUUAAUAAUUCUUAAUCCAUUUAGUAUUUUUAUAGUUCCUGAAGUCCAUUUAGAACUCUAGAGAAUACAAAUAAAGUUUGAGAGUAAAUUUUAGUAAGAAAGACAUUUAUUAUAUUUUGUUCCCUUACCUGUCAGAAAUAUCUUUCAGUACAAUAAGCAGUUGAGUGACUAAUACUGACAAAACACAUCACUCUAUAAAGAUUAAUAGUAUUUAAUCAUGAUCAAACUCAGGUCAUUCUCAGAUUUUAUGACCAAGGUAGUAAGUCCUUCCUUAUCCUGUAUUAGUAAAAAUUUUCCAGCCUACGUUUUGUAAUUUUCUCUGAACAUGAAAAGUAAUUCCAAUGAUAACAAUAUUUUUAAAAAUUUUAUAGUUUACAAAACUGUAACUUCUCUAUGAACAAUUGUAGAAAAAUGACAGUUCAAAAUAAAUUAUCUCAACAUAAAUCAUUACUGGAAAGUGCUAUAGGCAAAACUACAAAGAGUAGUUCAGAUAAAGCGUGCUUGCAGGACAAAGCAUAUGCAAAAUCACAUACAUAAUAUAUGAUAUUUUCUUUGCUAGACAGUAAGAAUGGAUUUGUAUCUGGUAUCAUGCAUUCUGCAAUGUCACUUUUCAACCAGAUUCACUGUAUUGAAAACUCAUAAAAUUGAUAUGUUAAAUAAUCUCCAGUUAAAAUUUUCUUUUCUGCUUAGAAUUAAAAAGCUUUAAAUGGGCCCAGGGAUUUAGCUCCGUGGUUUUGCCGCCUGCUGCUCAAGCGCAAGGACCCGAGUUUGAUCCUAGGUACCAAAAAAAAAAGCCUUAAAUGACAUUCCAUUUCAAGUUGUUUCUUUUUUAUAAGAACAUCUGACAAAUAUCCUGUUACACAUUUUCUUUAGCAUACUCAAUCUUGCACUGGGUAUUUACAUGAAUGAGCCCAUCAGUGAUGUGUGCUUAUUGUAUUUUUCUUUUGUAUGUAAAGUAAUAUUCCAGCUAACUUACAAUUCAGUAGGCAUAGUGACUUGGGAAAAUUAGAUCUUGUUAUAACCAUAGAUCUUGACAGGUAUUCCCUUUCUUACUAUUAUGAGAAUCUCCCUAUGGGUGCAUAAAAGGAGUGGUUAUUCUGAAUACAAAUUGGCAUAUCAUUAUUUUGAGAUCAGUGAUAAUAAACAUAGGACACACAUGUAUAAAUACCAAAUAGUUUCUCUGGUGUGAAAAACUAAAAAUGUAAAUAAGGAUCAAAAUGUAUGAUUGAUAUUGUGAAAUAGGAAGAAAAGGUCUAAAGUAGUAGGGGAAGUGAGAGGGUAGGGGAAGGAAAAGAAGGGAAAAGAAAAUAUGAGAAAAUGGAAAAAGUGGAAACAAAGUUUUUGUAAAUAGGGAAGGGUGGAGGGAGUAAAUGGUGGGCAGGGGAAUGGGGAAAAAAUAAGAACCAAGAUAUAUCAUGUAAAGGUACAAGAUCCCAAUGAUGAAUGUAACUGUAUUAUAUACCUAAAAUGUACCAAUAAACUUAAUGGAAAAAAAAGAAAUGUUAGGGACAAACACAUGAGAGCAUCCAAGGACCAAAUAUGUGAAUGAACCCUUGGAAACUUAAAAUCCUUCAGAGCCCACAUAAUUCGUCAAGUUUAAAAUAUUAAAGUACUUUCCAUACUCCAACAAGAAGCUAUUCUGGGCCAGACCAGUAAUAUAUCUAAUAGUAUUUUUCUAAUAGUGAAACCGUAUUAUAACUAGUCAUACGUAAAGGGUAUAAGUGUGUAUCCAUUAGCUACAGAAUUCCAUUAUCUAAUUUAUGAGUUCUGUUAUUUAUGAGCUUCUCUGUAUUCCUUUCAUGUGCAUACAUGUUACAAAUACAUGCAUAUAUUUAUAUAAUACAGCAAGAGAAUCCAUACAUUUUAACACUGACUGAUACGCAGACUAGGAAAAAUUGUUACAUUCACUCAAAUGUUGAUAUAUUGAUUUCCAUUAAAAUUUUUGCACAUAUGUCAGGAAAAAUGACAGAGGAAGAAACUCCAAGGACAUACUCUUCCAUAGAAAAACUAGGAAAACUGGUGAAAACUGUCAGUAUCAAUGUUAUUUGAAGUCUAGAAAACAGAAGUUUACAGCAGCCAAACAAAUCCUUAAAUCAACAUAAAAGCACCUGAAACCCAGUAGGGUAACUUACUGGCAUUUUAUCUCACCCUCCUUCCAGGUUUCUCCCCAUUAGCAGUGGUUUUUCAAGAUGGCAACCUACAUUUCUGUGUGGGUUUCUUGUUCCUGAAAAAGUUAUGGCUGCAUAGAGUUAUUGAAAGCCUUAGAAGUUAAAUAAACAAGCCCCUGCUAUUUGGGGUAAAAGAUUACCUUUGGGGAAACAGACACACACACACAACACACACAGCUAAAAGGGUAGGAGGAAAAGCUGAAGAGUGGCAUUGGAAAGUAAGGGCUUUAAAAGGCACCCCUCUGCACUGUAGACUGUAGAAUGGCAUGUCCAUACCCAAAGCAGAAUGCAUACUUAGGUACUGAGAAGAUGCCACACUUUUAUCUCUUGGUGAUCUAGACACCUAGUCCAAUCAGAUCAGGUAGUGAAGCCUGGAUAGUUGUUCUAGGAAUGCCCCAGUCUGCAAAGAUGGAGAAGGUAUUUCAUAAUUUUCCUCGUUUUUGUUUCCAGAAUUUUUAAAAUUAAGUUUAUUGGUACAUUUUAGGUAUGUAAAACAGUUACAUUCAUCACUGGGAUCUUGUACCUUUCUUUACAUGAUGUAUCUUGGUUCUUAUUUUUUUCCCGCUUCCCCUGCCCUCCUUUCACCUCCUCAGCCCUCCCUAUUUAGAAAGACUUUAUUUCCAUUUUUGCCUUUUCUCAUAUUUUUUCCUUUCUCCUACCCCUACCCCUUUAGAUCUUUUCUUCCUAUUUCACAUUAUCAGUUAUACAUUUUGAUCCUUAUUUAAACUUUUAGUUUCUCAAACCAGAGAAACUAUUUGGUAUUUACACAUAUGUCAAACCACUAGCUAAGUACUAAGCUAAUGAAAUAAAAACUUCACAAACCACACAAAAAAUAAUACAAUUUUUACAAAAAUACUUUUUAAAAGUCACUAAGCAAAUGACUUCAGUCCAAAACAACCAACAACAAAAAUUAAGGGAGCAGAUUUCCAGAGUUUCCACCUUGUACUAUUCAAAAUAUCAAAUUUACAAAAAUAAAAUAUUGGUAUGACACAUAGAGUCAAGAAAUUGACUCAUUCACAAGAAGAAAUCAACAGAAUCUGAAGAAUUACAGACACUGAACUUAACAAGGUCUUAAGACUCAAGUGGAAAUUCUGAUGAAAAAUACAUUUGCCCAAUUUCAGUUUUUAAAUCAUGUACUAAGGGAUUUAAUUAAGAGUAGUAAAAAUAUAAUAAUAAAUUAUAAUAAAAUUGCCUUAUUGGUAAAAAAUAUUCUGUGAGGUUCAACUGCAGAAAGGAAGAAGCAAUCAACUUGAAGCUAGAUUGGUUGAAAUGAAGUCUGAGAAGAGAAAGAAGGGAAAAGAGCUAUGACUAAAAGACUCGUGAGACACAACCAAAAUAAAUGUGAGUUUUGGAAGAAGAGUAGAAAGAAUAUUUGAGGAAAUAAUAUCUGAAAACUUUCCACACUUUAAGGAAGGUGUGAAUCUAAUAUCUAAGAAGUUCAAAUUUUUAGUAAAAUAAACACUAAAAUUCACUUUGAGAAAUAUUUUAAUCAAACCUUAGAAAGAUGAAAAAGUCUUGAAAGCAAGAUUAAAGUCAUUCCACAUGUACAAGGGGUCCUUAAUAAAAUCAACAGCUACUUGUUUAUUAGAGUCAAGAGACAUUUUAAAAGUGCUGAAAGAAAUAAAUUGUUAACAGAGAAUUCGGUAUCUGGCCAAGUUAUCUUUCAAGUAUAAAGGAUAAAUGCCUUCUCAGAUAAAACUUUAAAGGAGUAUGUUUUUCACAGGCCUACCAUAUGAACAUGUUAAAAAGAGCACUUUAAGCUGAAAUGAAGACACUAGUCAGUAACUCAAACAUGCACAAAGAAAAUUGGUAAAUAAUCACAUUGAACAUUGAACAGUCAGUGUUAUUUUUGUUUAUAACUUUUGUUCCCUGAAUGAUUUUUAAAACAAAUGCAUAAUACAAUUAUAAAUCUGUUAAAAAGUACACAAUGUAUAAGUGUGAUUUUUGAUAAUGUGAAUAGAUGUGGUAUAGGAGCAGAAGUUUGCUAUAAAAAAUUUAAUGUUUAAUUUAAAAUAGGUUAUUUUAAAUUUAAUAUGUGUAUUAUUGUAAAUUGUAAUCCCUGGAGUAACUAUUAAGCAAACUUAAAUUAUGCAGAAAAGGAAAUUAG